GCUUAUGGCCACACCGCCUGGUUCUACGGCUGAUCUCGUUUGAUCUCGGAAGCUAAGAUAGGGUGGGCCUGGUUAGUACUUGGAUGGGAGACCGCCUGGGAAUACCAGGUGUUGUAAGAU
rnacentral:rRNA from 1 species